CGAAGUAAAUUAAAGUAAAUGACUUAAGAUUCGUAAUAAGCGACCCAGAAACCCCACAGAUAUCCAGUUUCAAAGAAAUCUACCGAUUCUCUAAAUUUUUCUUCCACCAUAUUGGAUCCGCCAUUUUGAAUUUUUGGGAAAUAACUUCAGAUUCG